ensembl:snRNA U6 U6 spliceosomal RNA
GUGCUAGCUUCAGCAGCACAUAUACUAAAAAUGGAACUAUACAGAGAAUAUUAGCACAGCCACUGCUCAAGAAUGUCACAAAAAUUAGUGAAGUGUUCCAUACUCAA